CUGUUUUAUUUUUAUUUUGCAAUACCAACUGCUUCUCCCCUGGCCCCCAAGUUACCAGCACUCUAGUGAAUGAACUGGUUGCUGUCCUGCCUGCCCCGCCCCACUGCUCUUUUCUGAUUUGGGGGGUUGGUGGCCGGCCCACCUGCUGGCCCCUAUCUGCCCUUCUCCCAGCUGUUGAGUGCCAGAGUGUGCUUGGCUUGGCCAGAUUGCCCGGAGAGCCUGGUCAGAAAGACUCCAGCUGAAGAUGCUGAAAGAAGAAGAUACCAGAUUGAUGACCCCCAGAGUUCUAAAUAGGGCCUAGUUUGGGGGAAGAGAUUUAUGUAGGUAGGCAGGAAGGUACUAGGCCUGGGUAGAAGAGGUAGGAGCUUGGGCCACAUAAUCCUCCCUUCCCUUAGACUUACCCCAUUGUUGCUUGCUUACCCCCCAGACAAGUCUUCUCCCCAAAUAAAGCCUGCUCCUUUAUUUGGGGGGGAUUUAAUUUUUCUAGCUUCCUUUUGUGUGCUACAGUGCUAUAGAUAGCACUGUGUGUGACAUACAAAGCAUAAUAAGUAGACCACCCCCAGCCUCACACUUCCUAAAGGCAUUUCCUUCUCCCACCCAGCAGAGCUUGGGCUUUAAUUUAGCACUCACAAGAUGUCCCUGAGGAUGCAGAGUAGAGCUAGGAGCAGAGUGGCAGGCAGAGGAAGGGGUGAUGCUGCUGGUUGCAGCGGGCGAAGGUGGUGAGAGAGGCCUACUCCCCAAGUAGCUGCCGUCCCCCUAGAGAUGCGCAGCUCACCUAUCUGGCGGUGUCACCUGCUCAUGCAACAUAGCCACCUGGGUGGCGGAGGUAGAUAUGAGGGGGGGUCCCCUGUCACUGAAGAAGCUCUUCUCAUAGCAGCGGAGGAGGAGGUAUCAUUGGCUGCUAGCCCAGCAGCCAGAUUGCUCUCUCCAUCUUCCUCCCCAUCCCUGUUGACGGUACCUCACCUGAGGCUGAGGAAGACCAGGGGGAAGUCAUUCUGGUUCUUCCUGGGUCUUAGCUCCAGACUGAGGGCAGUGGUGGUGGUGACCACCACUGCCCUAUGUUUGUUUGAAGGAUCCCUAACAACUGGGCAGUGUGUGGCUCCAUUCUGCACCAAACCCAUCCAUGGAAAGAUAGGUGACCACUAUUGCAGCCUGACUGAAAUAAGCUGGGAAAGGGGAGGAAAUUUUACUAAGUUAACCAAAUGCUUUAUUCUCUCUCUCUCUCUACCCACAGCAAAUCAGCUAAAUUCCCUAUGUAUAGCUUGCUUGCUGCUCUUUGGACUAAUAUGCACAAUUAUUCUGAACACAGACAUGUCAUUUCUAAUUUGCUUUAUAGGAGCCUACUGAUGUUUAAUGUAGAAUGAGAAAUUCCAAUGGACAAAGUAAAGAUUAUAAGAUGGCAUACGCUUGGCUAAUCCUGUGUGUGGCAGCUCUCACGAGAGUUCGUAAGCAGAAGCACCUGAUUGGGCAGUGGGGAUUUGAUAUGCAGAUAGGGAGGAGAAGCCUGUGAUGAUUAAGGGCUGAGCAACAACACUCAACAUUUUCCACAUACAUCUUCAGCAGUAUCUAAAAUGCCUUCCAUUUUCAGCAUUUUUUGGGCAUUCUUUGUGAAAUAUUUGCUGUUCAUUUGCAAUGCCCUCUUUUGCUCUCUCAUUUAACCUGUGGUCUCAGAGACAUCAUCAAAAAUGUGGCUGGAUGGAUUUAGUACUGUCAGAACAUCUAACACAUGAUCCCUGACUGGCUGGAAUAACUCAUAAAUGUCUAAUAAAGUUUCUGAUCUUCCAUGGCUGGGCAAGGUGAUUGAGCAGGUGAUGCCCUCUCAGCUCCAGGAAGAUUUUACUGAUUAUCUAGAUCCAUUUCAAACCAACUUCUGAGUGGGCUAUGGGGUUGAGACUGCCUUGGUCGGCCUGAUGGAUGAUCUCCAAUUAGCUAUCAACAGAGGGAGUGUGAGUCUGCUGAUCCUUUUGGAUCUCUCAGUGGUUUUCUAUACUAUCGACCCUGGUAUCCUUCUGAGUCACCUACAUGAGGUGGGAUUGGGUGGCAUUGUUUUACAGUGGUUCCAUUCCUACCUCUCUGGCAGAUUCCAGAUGGUGUCAUUUGGAAUCUGUUGCUUUGCAAAGAAAGAAAUAAAGGAUGGAGUUCCACAAGGCUCCAUACUGAGGAUCUCCACACAAACAGUGUGGAGAGCCUAACCGGGCUCUGAGGGGAGAGCGGUCUUAGCUCGCUCUCCCUGCAGAUGAGCAGGGAGCUUGCCCUGGGUGGCCGGACUGGCCGCCCACAUGACUACCAGCUCCAUCAUGGAACCAGUAGGGGCGGUGGGGAUCGGGGGCCACCUGGCCCCCCGAAGUCGCAGAAUGCCCCACAUGAGUGCAUGGGGCAUUCUGGGGAGACCCCCAAGGCUGGGAGGCUUGUUGGAGCCUUCCAGUCGGGGGUCUCUAUGUGAGUCGCCGCAGCACGGAGCUGCGCCAUGGCGACUCACGGUUACUUCUAACCUCGUUUAAGGGGGGGAACUUAAGCGGGCUGCCAGGAGCUGCAUGGCUCCCGGCGGUUCCCCUGACAGCAGGAAAGCAAGCUGGGCUCCCUUAGCCCGCUUUCCUGUGGUUGUUAGAAUAACCUUACUGUCUCCAAUGGUCUAACAUUAACCCCUGCUAACUGGGCAGAGAGGCACCUUUUACCUUUAUUCUCUUUAUUUAGCAGGGGGAGAGUAACUGGCCCUAUCCACCCCCAGCACAGUACUUCCAGUGAUUGUUGCUGGUGUGUGUCUUAGGUUUCUUUUUAGAAUGUGAGCCCUUUGGGGACAGGGAGCCAUCUUAUUUGUUUUAUUUCUCUUUGUAAACUGCCCUGAGCCAUUUUUGGAAGGGCGGUAUAGAAAUUGAAUUAAUAAUAAUAAUAACAAUAACAAUAACAUCUACAUGCCACUUGCAGAGAUCAUCAGGAGAUAUGGUAUAAUGUGCUACCAGUAUGCUGAUAAACCCACAUCUAUUUCUCCUUAUCAACUUCAUCAGGAAAUGACACAAUUUCCCUAAAUGCCUGCCUGGAUGCAGUAAUGGGCUGGAUGAGGGAUAACAAACUCAAGUUGAAUCAAAAUAAGAUGGAGGUACUGAUUGUGGGGGUCAAAACCUGAGAGAUGGUUAAACCCCAUCUGCCUGUUCUGGAUGUGGUUACACUCCCCCUGAAAGAUCAGGUAUGUAACUUGGGAGUGUUCCUUGAUCCAAAACUCUCUCUGGUUUCUCAGGUUGAGGCAGUUGCCAGGAAGGCUUUUUAUUAGCUUCAGCUGAUAUGUCAGCCACGUCUACUUCUAAAGGUAAAUGACCUUAAAAGAACAGUACAUAUGUUGGUAACCUCCAGGCUUGACUUCUGUAAUGCAGUCUACUUGGGGCUGCCUUUGUAUGUUGUCCAGAAACUACAACUGGUAUAGAAUGCCAGAAUGUGGUAGCUACGUUGGUCUUUGGGACAACUGGAAGGGACCAUAUAACACUGGUUCUGAAAGAAUUGCACUGGCUGCCAAUAUGUUUCUGAACAAAAUACAAAGUGCUGGUCAUUAUCUAUAAAGCCCUAAAUGGCUUAGGUCCAGGGUAUUUAAGAGACCUCCUUCUUUGUCAUACACCCUGCUGCCUAUUAAGAUCAUCUGGGGAGGUACGGUUAUGAUUGCCGCCAGCUCGUCUGGUGGUGACAUGUAGCUGGGCCUUCUCUGAGGCUGCUCUAGGGCUUUGGAAUGCACUCCCUGUCCAAAUAAGAGCUUCUCCAUCUCUGACUGCUUUUAAAAAAUACCAUUAAGACACACCCACACUUUUAAUUAAAAUUAAUUUUAAAUGGUUUAAUUCGAUGAAAUUGUUUGAAUUGUUUCACUCUGUGAAUUGUUUUUAAUCUGUGAAACUGUUUUGUUUGUUAUUAUUUUACAUUGUAAUUUGGACUGUGUGCAUCGCCUAGAGAUGUAUAUAUCAACAGUAUA